GUGCUUGCUUUGGCAGCACAUACACUAAAACUGAAACGAUUUAGAGAAAAUUAGAAUGGGCCUCUGUGCAAGAAUGACAUGCAAAUCCAUGAAGUGUUCCAUAUUUCA
ensembl:snRNA U6 U6 spliceosomal RNA